rnacentral:rRNA from 1 species
GCACGCCGCGUGAGGGACGAAGGCCUCUGGGCUGUAAACCUCUUUUCUCAAGGAAGAAGACAUGACGGUACUUGAGGAAUAAGCCACGGCUAAUUCCGUGCCAGCAGCCGCGGUAAUACGGGAGUGGCAAGCGUUAUCCGGAAUUAUUGGGCGUAAAGCGUCCGCAGGCGGCCUUGAAAGUCUGUUGUUAAAGCGUGGAGCUCAACUCCAUUUCAGCAAUGGAAACUACAAGGCUAGAGUGUGGUAGGGGCAGAGGGAAUUCCCGGUGUAGCGGUGAAAUGCGUAGAUAU